AUUGAACGCUGGCGGCAUGCCUUACACAUGCAAGUCGAACGGCAGCACGGGGGCAACCCUGGUGGCGAGUGGCGAACGGGUGAGUAAUGCAUCGGAACGUGCCCACGUAGUGGGGGAGUAACUAGUCGAAAGAUUAGCUAAUACCGCAUACGACCUAUGGGUGGAAAGACGGGGGAGUUCGCAAGAACCUACGCGCUAUCGGAGCGGCCGAUGUCUGAUUAGCUAGUUGGCGGGGUAAAAGGACCCACCAAGGCUUCGAUCAGUAGCUGGUCUGAGAGGACGGACCAGCCACACUGGGACGUGAGACACGGCCC
rnacentral:rRNA from 1 species